rnacentral:lncRNA from 13 species
AAUAUUUUUCGAGACAGACAUCUUUUUCUUCUUACCUAAUUCCUCUUCUGCUUCAGCUGGGGACUUUGUCUCAGUGAAUGUCUUUAGUUGUUCAGAACAGGCCAGAGAAAUCGAUUCUGUGGUUCAUUGAUUAUUAACAAGAAAACAUGACUUUUGAAUAAUACCAUAAACUGGCAAGACAAUUUUAAAUCAAAUUGUGUUUUAUUAAAUGUAUGUAUCAUCAAUACCAUUGCUUCAUGUGCCAUUAAGAAAGAAAACAUGCCAAUUAAAUAUAAUGCAUCAUCCAUUGUAAGAUGAAAUGCAAAUUCGGAGACAUUAAAAUGUGAAAAAUGUUGGAGAUCUUAGAAUUGACGUUGUUGUGGGUUUCAAUCAAGAGUCUUACACUACUGUGAACUAGCUAAUGUGAUCUCCUUCCUACACGAUUUUAUAGGGGCUCUUUUGUUAUAGAAAUGAAGCAGAUUAGCUGGGCACGGUGGCACGUGUCUGUAAUCCCAGCUACUCGGGAAGCUGAGGCAGGAGAAUUGCCUGAACCCAGGAGGCGGAGGUUGCGGUGAGCCGAGAUCGCGCCAUUGCACUCCAGCCUGGGUAACAAGAGCGAAACUCCAUCUCAAAAAAAAAAAAAAAAAAAAGAAAUGAGGCAGAGAGGAUUAAAGAAACCAGCUAAGAUCUCAUGUCCUGUUAGAGGUAGAGUGGUGGGAUUCGAACCCAGGACCCCUGGUGCUGAGCCUGGUGCUUUUCCCUGAUAAAGCAGCUUGUCUCCUUAGCAGGGUCUUCUGCUGGGAAACAGAAGAUUCAUUGUAAAGAAAGGAGAAAAUGAAACCUUGAUGAGAAAAAGAAAAAUGUGCAGACAAAUGUUAAUGUUUUCUUCGCUGUUUCUCUCUCACUCAAUGUGUCAAGAGCCUUCCUUUGGCAUGAGAAGUUCAACCCAAUAUCGUCAUCCCAGUCUCACUUCCUGACCAACAUCGGGUAUGAGAUAAGGUUCAAUCAAAUCACUAGAAACUUGGCUGUGACCUGAAACACUAGUCAAUGCAAGGACCAUGCCCCAUCCACCUGGCCUUUUUACUAUGGGAUUAAUGUGGAAAUACUGAAGACCCUGUGACAAAGAUCGGAUUUACUAUAAACACUAUAGUUUAUUAUGGACAGUUUGAAUAAAGCGGGUAUUCUGUUGCUCUGGUG